rnacentral:rRNA from 1 species
AGCGAACGCUGGCGGCAGGCUUAACACAUGCAAGUCGAACGGGCGUAGCAAUACGUCAGUGGCAGACGGGUGAGUAACGCGUGGGAACGUACCUUUUGGUUCGGAACAACCCAGGGAAACUUGGGCUAAUACCGGAUAAGCCCUUACGGGGAAAGAUUUAUCGCCGAAAGAUCGGCCCGCGUCUGAUUAGCUAGUUGGUGUGGUAACGGCGCACCAAGGCGACGAUCAGUAGCUGGUCUGAGAGGAUGAUCAGCCACAUUGGGACUGAGACACGGCCCAAACUCCUACGGGAGGCAGCAGUGGGGAAUAUUGGACAAUGGGCGCAAGCCUGAUCCAGCCAUGCCGCGUGAGUGAUGAAGGCCCUAGGGUUGUAAAGCUCUUUUGUGCGGGAAGAUAAUGACGGUACCGCAAGAAUAAGCCCCGGCUAACUUCGUGCCAGCAGCCGCGGU